ACUACGGGAGGCAGCAGUGAGGAAUAUUGGUCAAUGGGCGAGAGCCUGAACCAGCCAAGUCGCGUGAGGGAGUACUGCCCUAUGGGUUGUAAACCUCUUUUGUCGGGGCGCAAAAGCCGGACGUGUCCGGCUGUGAGAGUACCCGAAGCAAACGCAUCGGCUAACUCCGGGCCAGCAGCCGCGGUAAUACGGAGGAUGCGAGCGGUAUCCGGAUUUAUUGGGUUUGAAGGGGGCGCAGGCGGAUUUUUAAGUCAGCGGUCAAAGCGUGGGGCUCAACCCCAUCCAGCCGUUGAAACUGGGGAUCUAGAGUGUGCGAGAGGUAUGCGGAAUGCGUGGUGUAGCGGUGAAAUGCAUAGAUAUCACGCAGAACCCCGAUUGCGAAGGCAGCAUACCGGUGCACAACUGACGCUCAGGCACGAAAGCGUGGGUAUCGAACAGGAUUAGAUACCCCUGUAGUC
rnacentral:rRNA from 1 species